CAGUCGCCGCGGUAAUACGAAGGGGGCUAGCGUUGUUCGGAAUCACUGGGCGUAAAGGGUGCGUAGGAGGGAUCUUAAGUCAGGGGUGAAAUCCCGAGGCUCAACCUCGGAACUGCCUUUGAUACUGGGGUCCUUGAGUCCGGAAGAGGUGAGUGGAACUGCGAGUGUAGAGGUGAAAUUCGUAGAUAUUCGCAAGAACACCGGUGGCGAAGGCGGCUCACUGGUCCGGAACUGACGCUGAGGCACGACAGCGUGGGGAGCAAACAGGAUUAGAUACCCCUGUAGUCCCUGUCUCUUAUAC
rnacentral:rRNA from 1 species